rnacentral:rRNA from 1 species
GAUGAACGCUGGCGGCGUGCUUAACACAUGCAAGUCGAGCGAAGCACUUAAGUUCGACUCUUCGGAUGAAGACUUUUGUGACUGAGCGGCGGACGGGUGAGUAACGCGUGGGUAACCUGCCUCAUACAGGGGGAUAACAGUUAGAAAUGACUGCUAAUACCGCAUAAGACCACAGUACUGCAUGGUACAGUGGUAAAAACUCCGGUGGUAUGAGAUGGACCCGCGUCUGAUUAGGUAGUUGGUGAGGUAACGGCCCACCAAGCCGACUAUCAGUAGCCGACCUGAGAGGGUGACCGGCCACAUUGGGACUGAGACACGGCCCAGACUCCUACGGGAGGCAGCAGUGGGGAAUAUUGCACAAUGGGCGAAAGCCUGAUGCAGCGACGCCGCGUGAAGGAUGAAGUAUUUCGGUAUGUAAACUUCUAUCAGCAGGGAAGAAAAUGACGGUACCUGACUAAGAAGCCCCGGCUAACUACGUGCCAGCAGCCGCGGUAA